GAUGAACGCUGGCGGCGUGCCUAAUACAUGCAAGUCGAGCGAACGGACGAGAAGCUUGCUUUUCUGAUGUUAGCGGCGGACGGGUGAGUAACACGUGGAUAACCUACCUAUAAGACUGGGAUAACUUCGGGAAACCGGAGCUAAUACCGGAUAAUAUUUUGAACCGCAUGGUUCAAAAGUGAAAGACGGUCUUGCUGUCACUUAUAGAUGGAUCCGCGCUGCAUUAGCUAGUUGGUAAGGUAACGGCUUACCAAGGCAACGAUGCAUAGCCGACCUGAGAGGGUGAUCGGCCACACUGGAGCUGAGACACGGUCCAGACUCCUACGGGAGGCAGCAGUAGGGAAUCUUCCGCAAUGGGCGAAAGCCUGACGGAGCAACGCCGCGUGAGUGAUGAAGGUCUUCGGAUCGUAAAACGCUGUUAUUAGGGAAGAACAUAUGUGUAAGUAACUGUGAACAUCUUGACGGUACCUAAUCAGAAAGCCACGGCUAACUACGUG
rnacentral:rRNA from 1 species